rnacentral:rRNA from 1 species
AGCUCCAAUAGCGUAUAUUAAAGUUGCUGCAGUUAAAAAGCUCGUAGUUGGAUUUCUGACCUGAAACAUUUUGCCGGCCACGGUUUCGUGUGUUAGUGCUUGAUGUUCUGGUCAUCCUUCCAAUCGCUGUUGUUUUUCUUCAUUGAUUAGCAAGUGGUAUUGGAUCUUUUACUUUGAAAAAAUUAGAGUGUUUCAAGCAGGCAUUGCUAUGAAUACAUUAGCAUGGAAUAAUAAUUUAGGACUUCGGUUCUAUUUUGUUGGUUUCUAGGACUGAAGUAAUGAUUGAUAGGGAUAGUUGGGGGUGCUAGUAUUCAGCGGCCAGAGGUGAAAUUCUUGGAUUCGCUGAAGACUAACUUAUGCGAAAGCAUUCACCAAGGAUGUCUUCU